rnacentral:rRNA from 1 species
GAUGAACGCUGGCGGCGUGCCUAAUACAUGCAAGUCGAGCGAAAAGACGAGGAGCUUGCUCCUCUGACGUUAGCGGCGGACGGGUGAGUAACACGUGGAUAACCUACCUAUAAGACUGGGAUAACUUCAGGAAACCGGAGCUAAUACCGGAUAAUAUAUUGAACCGCAUGGUUCAAUAGUGAAAGACGGGUUUGCUGUCACUUAUCGAUGGAUCCGCGCCGCAUUAGCUAGUUGGUAAGGUAACGGCUUACCAAGGCAACGAUGCGUAGCCGACCUGAGAGGGUGAUCGGCCACACUGGAACUGAGACACGGUCCAGACUCCUACGGGAGGCAGCAGUAGGGAAUCUUCCGCAAUGGGCGAAAGCCUGACGGAGCAACGCCGCGUGAGUGAUGAAGGUCUUCGGAUCGUAAAACUCUGUUAUUAGGGAAGAACAAAUGUGUAAGUAACUAUGCACGUCUUGACGGUACCUAAUCAGAAAGCCACGGCUAACUACGUG